rnacentral:rRNA from 1 species
CCUACGGGUGGCAGCAGUGAGGAAUAUUGGUCAAUGGCCGAGAGGCUGAACCAGCCAAGUCGCGUGAGGGAAGACGGCCCUACGGGUCGUAAACCUCUUUUGUCGGGGAGCAAAGCGAACCACGUGUGGUUCAUUGAGAGUACCCGAAGAAAAAGCAUCGGCUAACCCCGUGCCAGCAGCCGCGGUAAUACGGGGGAUGCGAGCGGUAUCCGGAUUUAUUGGGUUUAAAGGGUGCGCAGGCGGAGGUGCAAGUCAGCGGUCAAAUUGCGGGGCUCAACCCCGUACUGCCGUUGAAACUGCAUCCCUUGAGGGCGCGAGAAGGAUGCGGAAUGCGGGGUGUAGCGGUGAAAUGCAGAGAUAUCACGCAGAACUCCGAUUGCGAAGGCAGCAUACCGGCGCGCAACUGACGCGCAUGCACGAAAGCGUGGGUAUCGAACAGGAUUAGAUACCCCUGUAGUC